rnacentral:lncRNA from 1 species
CUUUCCGCCUCCGCAUCCUCUCUUGCAGCCUGCACCCCCUGGACAUCUUGACUCCAUCCUUCAGCAUCCUUUGCCUCACUGUAUCCUGACUGCUUGGACCAUCCUUCUCUCCAGCCUCCACUGAACAACAGAUUGGGAAGGGGAAUUUCACAAGGAGCUCUUGAUCUUGGCAGAGACGCUGCCGAGCCACCUGCCCCACCUGGCAGCCCAACCG